GGUUAUCCGAACCCAUAAUAAUAUCUGGGAGCCCCACUAUUCUUCUCUCCAAUUUCAAAACCCUAACCCUUGAAACUCCAGCCCUUUGGCCCCUUUCUGCUUCGCCGCGAUCCCCAAUUUUCAUCGGAAGUACAAUGAGCAGUCGUAGUACGAGCAGAACUCUCUAUGUUGGGAAUCUGCCCGGUGAUGUACGCGAGAGAGAGGUGGAAGACUUGUUUUUCAAGUAUGGACGCAUAGCCCAUAUUGACCUGAAGGUCCCUCCAAGGCCUCCUGGUUAUGCAUUUGUUGAGUUUGAAGACUCUCGUGAUGCUGAAGAUGCACUCCGUGGUCGUGAUGGCUAUGAUUUUGAUGGGCAUCGUUUACGGGUUGAACUUGCACAUGGAGGGCGUGGGCAUUCAUCUUCUUCAGAUCGUCAGAGUAACUAUAGUGGUGGUCGAGGUGGACGUGGGAUGUCUAAGCGCUCAGAUUAUCGUGUGUUAGUCAGUGAACUUCCCCCUUCCGCUUCAUGGCAAGAUCUUAAGGAUCACAUGCGACGGGCAGGAGAUGUCUGUUUCUCCCAAGUUUUUCGUGAUGGUAGUGGCACAACUGGGAUUGUGGAUUACACGAACUUAGAAGAUAUGAAGUAUGCGAUCAAAAAGCUUGAUGGCUCUGAGUUCCGGAAUGCUUUUGACCGCCAAUCUGUUCGUGUGAGGGAAUAUGAUGCGAAGAGGGACUCAUCUAGGAGCCCUAGUCGCGGUCGAUCUCGUUCAAAAGGCAGGAGCUACAGUCGCAGUCGUAGUCCAAGUUAUAGCCGGGACAGAAGCAGGAGCAAGUCUCCAAAAACCAAAUCUUCACGCCGCUCACCCGCUAGAUCUCGAUCAAGAUCGGCUUCUCUCCCCGGUUCACGAUCAAGGUCUCGCUCUCCAUCAGAUUGUAAAGUAUGAAUUAUCUCAUUUGUGCUGGAAUCUUUUCGUGUUGGUCAAUUCCUUUGUUUCCUGCUCAGCAGUUGGGGUUGCCAAGAAAGAAUAUGGAUAUAUGCGGCGAACUGGGAAUUGGAUUUUAGGAUCUUGAUUGGAUAAGGUCAAUUGCUUACAACUCUUUUUCUAUGGAGAUUGGGAUCAAUGGAAGUCUUGGAUUGCACUAGUAAAGCUGGAUAUCUGUGAACUAAGUGCCAUUGGGACUUGGAAGUCAUCGUCAAUGAGCAGUAGAGACAAUUUGAUUUUCGUUUCAUGCUCCAACAUUUUGCCAGGCUAAUAGGUCACACUAUCUGGAUUUGCUGGAUUCUUGUGUUACAGUAGGGAAGAAUGCUCCUUUUCUUUCCCACUGUUGUCUUAAAAAUAAUUAUAAAUUUUUCUUUUUUUCAAAUAUUUCUCCCUCUGAUUUUGUGAUCUGUUUUGGCGGGGUUUACAUCAAUUCUUUCAUUCAUUUUUUCUUCUAUUGGUAUGCUAAAUGUUUAAAUUUUUUUCUUCUAUCCUUAUUGGAUGUGGUAACUUCACAUGGAAGAGGCAUCAAGGACCUUGGAUCAAAUUGGUAAUAGGAACAUGGUUAUUAAAUUCGGUUGUUUCUGGAACUUUUGCAGAUCAAGAUCAAGAAGCAAAUCUCCAGUGCCUUCGAAACGCAUUAGUAAAAGCCCGAAGAAGCACCUUAGUAAAAGUCCAAAGAAGCGUAGUGCCAGCAGGAGUCCAAUCCGGAGCAGGAGCAGGAGCAAGAGUUUGUCACGGUGAUAUGAUGUUAUCCCUGACCUGAAGUUAUCGCUCGGAGAAAGGUUUACAAUCCUUGUUAAGGGACUGUAAUUCGGGCACCUUUUAUUUAGCAAACUUGUAAGUUUAUGGAUAUAUUCAUUUUCAAAUCACUGUGUCUGUUACAUUGUUUACUGCGGCGGGCUGUUGUUUAACUGAAAACUGGCGUUUUACCAUCUUCGCACCUUGUAAUGCAUUUGAGAUUCUUUGCUACAUUUUCGCUUGAA